rnacentral:rRNA from 1 species
GUGCCAGCCGCCGCGGUAAUACGGAGGGGGCUAGCGUUGUUCGGAAUUACUGGGCGUAAAGCGCACGUAGGCGGAUUGGAAAGUUGGGGGUGAAAUCCCGGGGCUCAACCCCGGAACUGCCUUCAAAACUCCCAGUCUGGAGGUCGAGAGAGGUGAGUGGAAUUCCGAGUGUAGAGGUGAAAUUCGUAGAUAUUCGGAGGAACACCAGUGGCGAAGGCGGCUCACUGGCUCGAUACUGACGCUGAGGUGCGAAAGCGUGGGGAGCAAACAGGAUUAGAUACCCCAGUAGUCC